GAUGAACGCUGGCGGCGUGCCUAAUACAUGCCAGUAGAACGCUGAAGGAGGAGCUUGCUCUUCCGGAUGAGUUGCGAACGGGUGAGUAACACGUAGGUAACCUGCCUGGUAGCGGGUGAUAACUCUUGGAAACGAUAGCUAAUACCGCAUGACAACAGUUAUUGCAUGAUAAUUGUUUAAAAGGGGCAACUGCUCCACUACCAGAUGGACCUGCGUUGUAUUAGCUAGUUGGUGAAGUAACGGCUCACCAAGGCGACGAUACAUAGUCGACCUGGGAGGGGGAUUGGCCACAAUGGGACUGGGACACGGGCCCAACUUCCACGGGAGGCAGCAGUAGGGGAUCUUUGGGAAUGGACGGAAGUCUGGCCGAGCAAAGGCGCGUGGGUGAAGAAGGUUUUCGGAUCGUAAAGAUCUGUUGUAAGAGAAGAACGAGUGGGGGAGUGGAAAGUUCACACUGUGACGGUAUCUUACCAGAAAGGGACGGCUAACUACGUG
rnacentral:rRNA from 1 species